rnacentral:rRNA from 1 species
CUGCUGCCUUCCGUAGGAGUUUGGACCGUGUCUCAGUUCCAAUGUGGGGGACCUUCCUCUCAGAACCCCUACGCAUCGUCGGCUUGGUGGGCCGUUGCCCCACCAACUACCUAAUGCGCCGCAUGCCCAUCCGUGACCGGGGUCGCCCCCUUUGACCGGCAGGGGAUGUCCCCUCCCGGCAUUAUGUUGUAUUAGGCGGGAUUUCUCCCGGUUAUCCAUCUGUCACGGCCAGGUUGCAUACGUGUUACUCACCCGUGCGCCGGUCGCCAU